CCCAGGUCUUCAGGCCUGAGCCCCCGGAUCUCCUGACCGUCUAGUGACGGCCCUGCUUCAGCCCUGUCUGGACUACAGGCAUUAUCUCAGGGCUGAAGGAAGCCUGUCACCCAGCCUGUCUGGACUACAGACAUUAUCUCAGGGCUGGAGGAAGCCUGUCUGGACUACAGGCAUUAUCUCAGGGCCGAAGGAAGACUGUCUGGACUAGAGGCAUUAUCUCAGGGCUGGAGGAAGACUGUCUGGACUAGAGGCAUUAUCUCAGGGCUGGAGUAAGCCUGUCACCCAGCCUGUCUGGACUACAGACAUUAUCUUAGGGCUGGAGUAAGCCUGUCACCCAGCCUGUCUGGACUACAGACAUUAUCUUAGAGCUGAAGGAAGCCUGUCACCCAGCCUGUCUGGACUACAGACAUUAUCUCAGGGCUGGAGGAAGCCUGUCUGGACUACAGGCAUUAUCUCAGGGCUGAAGGAAGCCUGUCUGGACUACAGGCAUUAUCUCAGGGCUGAAGGAAG
rnacentral:lncRNA from 1 species